rnacentral:rRNA from 1 species
AAUCAACGCUGGCGGCGUGCCUAACACAUGCAAGUCGAACGCGGUUAGUAGCAAUACUAACUGAGUGGCGAACGGGUGAGUAACGCGUGGGUGACCUACCUUCGAGUGGGGGAUAACGUC